CCUACGGGCGGCAGCAGUGGGGAAUAUUGGACAAUGGGGGCAACCCUGAUCCAGCGACGCCGCGUGAGUGAAGAAGUAUUUCGGUAUGUAAAGCUCUAUCAGCAGGGAAGAAAAUGACGGUACCUGACUAAGAUGCCCCGGCUAACUACGUUCCAGCAGCCGCGGUAAUACGUAGGGGGCAAGCGUUAUCCGGAUGUACUGGGUGUAAAGGGAGCGUAGACGGUUUAGCAAGUCUGAUGUGAAAGUUCGGGGCCCAACCCCGGGACUGCAUUGGAAACUGUUGAACUGGAGUACAGGUGAGGUAAGCGGAAUUCCUAGUGUAGCGGUGAAAUGCGUAGAUAUCAGGAGGAACACCAGUGGCGAAGGCGGCUUACUAGACUGUCACUGACGUUGAGGCUCGAAAGCGUGGGGAGCAAACAGGAUUAGAUACCCGGGUAGUC
rnacentral:rRNA from 1 species